rnacentral:pre_miRNA from 1 species
GGAAUGUCGUCUGGUUCGAGAUCAUUCAUGUGAAGGUUCGAGAUCGUUUCUUGGAUGAUUUCGGACCAGGCUUCAUUCCCC